rnacentral:rRNA from 1 species
GCGGUGUAAAAUGAGCGUGCGUCCUAUUAGCUAGUUGGUGAGGCAAUGGCUCACCAAGGCUACGAUGGGUAGGGGUUCUUAGUGGAAGAUCCCCCACACUGGCACUGAGAUACGGGCCAGACUCCUACGGGAGGCAGCAGUAGGGAAUAUUGGUCAAUGGGCGAAAGCCUGAACCAGCCAUGCCGCGUGCAGGAUGACAGCUCUCUGAGUUGUAAACUGCUUUUGUACAGGAGCAAAACAAUCCCUGCGGGGGUUCUUGAGAGUACUGUAAGAAUAAGCACCGGCUAAUUCCGUGCCAGCAGCCGCGGUAAUACGGAAGGUGCAAGCGUUAUCCGGUUUUAUUGGGUUUAAAGGGUGCGUAGGCGGCUUAUUAAGUCAGUUGUGAAAUCCUAGUGCUUAACGCUAGAACUGCAAUUGAUACUAUUAGGCUUGAGUUAAGAAGAGGU